rnacentral:lncRNA from 1 species
AAAAAAUCAUAUAAGUAUAUGAAAAAUGGACGAGAAGUUAACUGAAGAAAUCAUGAAGUGCUAUACAAUCACUCAUCAGCCGAGUACAGGGACCAGACGAUUCGGCAAGAAGCUUGGUAGACACUUAGACACACAAAUAACAGCGGACAACGCCAAGACAAAAUGGGACAAACUUAGACGAUGUUUCUGUAAUGCAAGAAAUAGACGCCUGUCUACACAAAGUGGCCAGGCUACCAAAAAAAUUACGCCAUGGAAAUUUGAACAGCAGAUAACAUUUUUGCUGCCGUAUUUAGAAGGUCGAAGGACGCGCGGCAAGUUGCAAGUCUCAAAAUGAACAUAAAAUUCGCAUUCCCGACGAAAGAGAAAUUAACGACGAUGAAGUUGACGCAGACGAACAGCAAAUACAAGAACGUAGUACAGACGCUGAAGAUAUAGCUGAUGAAGGGGACCAAGAACAUAUUGCAGUUAUACAACAACAAACACCUUCGCAAGACGAUAUAUUGCUCGCCGAAAAUACUAAAACAUUAGAGCACAUGAAGAGAAACAAAACGUGUUCACAAAAAAAAAUACUGCAGCCGAGAAAAUGGCGGCAAUAAUGGAACAAAAUGCUGCUCUCAGAAAAAGGAAAUUCGAAGAGAAAUUAACAGCGCAAAAUAAACAUACAUGUUUUGAAGAUAUGGACGAAACUGACAUAUUUUUCCUAAGUUUGGCGAGAAGUACGAAACAAUUACCAGAAGCCAAACAAGCUGCAGUUAAAAUAACAGUGAGCACUGCAAUCCUUCAAGCUGAAAUGAGAAGCGCACAAGCACAAAGUGCUCCAAUACCUGCACCAUCUUCGUCAUAUAUGCUUUGCAACCAUUGUUUUCACCUCACGACAAUUCUAGCCAGUCUACGUCAUCAUCUGAAACCGUCAUAUCAACGUCACCUCAUGAAUAUUCUAGACCAUCAUCAGAAUCCUCUAACACGCAAUCGGCUCUCCCGCCGCAGGAGUAUGGUAAAGCUGGACAUGGGCAAUUUACAAAUGUUUCACAAACAAGCAACUACCCUACAGCAGAGACAACUCGCGAGGAAUGGAGACCGACGUUACUAGAUAUGAACUCUGUGUCUCUGGUCGACUUAGCUUAAUAUCAUUAAACUUUUCUAUUGUUAUUCAACGUGUGUAGCGAUACUUUUUGCAAAAUAAAAUAUUUAUUUCAA